rnacentral:rRNA from 1 species
UCUGUAGGGUGAACCUGCGGAGGGAUCAUUA